UCCUGCCUACAAGAAAUGCAAGGUUGGGA
rnacentral:piRNA from 1 species